rnacentral:rRNA from 1 species
GAUGAACGCUGGCGGCGUGCCUAAUACAUGCAAGUCGAGCGAACAGACGAGGAGCUUGCUCCUCUGACGUUAGCGGCGGACGGGUGAGUAACACGUGGAUAACCUACCUAUAAGACUGGGAUAACUUCGGGAAACCGGAGCUAAUACCGGAUAAGAUAUUGAACCGCAUGGUUCAAUAGUGAAAGACGGUGUUGCUGGCACUUAUAGAUGGAUCCGCGCCGCAUUAGCUAGUUGGUAAGGUAACGGCUUACCAAGGCAACGAUGCGUAGCCGAACUGAGGGGGUGAUCGCCCACACUGGAACUGAGACACGGUCAAGACUCCUACGGGAGGCAGCAGUAGGGAAUCUUACGCAAUGGGCGAAAGCCUGACGGAGCAACGCCGCGUGAGUGAUGAAGGUCUUCGGAUCGUAAAACUCUGUUAUUAGGGAAGAACAAAUGUGUAAGUAAAUAUGCACGUCUUGACGGUACCUAAUCAGAAAGCCACGGCUAACUACGUG